rnacentral:rRNA from 1 species
GACGAACGCUGGCGGCGUGCCUAAUACAUGCAAGUCGAGCGCAGGAAACUGACGGAACUCUUCGGAGGGAAGGCAGCGGAAUGAGCGGCGGACGGGUGAGUAACACGUAAGGAACCUGCCUCAAGGAUUGGGAUAACUCCGAGAAAUCGGAGCUAAUACCGGAGAGUUCAACGGACCGCAUGGUCCGCUGAUGAAAGGCGCUUCGGCGUCCCCUUGAGAUGGCCUUGCGGUGCAUUAGCUAGUUGGUGGGGUAACGGCCAAACAAGGCGACGAUGCAUAGCCGACCUGAGAGGGUGAUCGGCCACACUGGGACUGAGGCACGGCCCAGACUCCUACGGGAGGAAGCAGUAGGGAAUCUUCCACAAUGGACGAAAGUCUGAUGGAGCAACGCCGCGUGAGUGAUGAAGGUUUUCGGAUCGUAAAACUCUGUUGUAAGGGAAGAACACGUACGAGAGGAAAUGCUCGUACCUUGACGGUACCUUACGAGAAAGCCACGGCUAACUACGUGCCAGCAGCCGCGGUAACAC